rnacentral:lncRNA from 1 species
CUUGCCUUUAAAUUUCUUCACCCUGUUCUCCAGAAGGGUUCCUGACUUGCUAUUUCAUCAACUUGUUUCCAUGCUUUCAACUUCUUCACCCUGUUCUGCAGGCGGGCUCCUGACUUGCUAUUUUUCAAUCUGUUUAACUUUCAAUUUCUUCACCUUGUUGCUUAGUUUUCUAUUUAUUCGCCCUAUGCUUUGGGCAGGCUCCUGAAAUCACAUCAAAACUAAAAAGAAAAUUAUCCCAAACAAAUAUUAUUAUAAAGAGGUUUUAUUUGACAGAAAAG